CAAAACAUGACAAAAAGUGUCAAAAUAUUUUGCAUUCAUUGUGCUAUUGAAUCAUAUAUUUUAAAUGCAACUAUACACAUGUUCAUUGUGUAAACCCCUACAUGCAAAUAGAGCAA